rnacentral:rRNA from 1 species
UACGUAGGGUGCAAGCGUUAAUCGGAAUUACUGGGCGUAAAGCGUGCGCAGGCGGUUUUGUAAUUCUGUCGUGAAAUCCCCGGGCUUAACCUGGGAAUGGCGAUGGAGACUGCAAGGCUAGAGUUUGGCAGAGGGGGGUAGAAUUCCACGUGUAGCAGUGAAAUGCGUAGAGAUGUGGAGGAACACCGAUGGCGAAGGCAGCCCCCUGGGUCAAAACUGACGCUCAUGCACGAAAGCGUGGGGAGCAAACAGG